GUGCUUGCUUCGGCAGCACAUAUACUAAAAAUGGAACAAUACAGAGAAGAUUAGCAUGGCCCCUGCGCAAGGAUGGCACGCAAAUUCGUGGAGCGUUCCAUAUUUUU
ensembl:snRNA U6 U6 spliceosomal RNA